rnacentral:rRNA from 1 species
UUUAUUUUAACUGUAAGGUAGAAUUUCAGUUUAAGGGAAGAACAAUGAGUUGUAAAACAUAAGAAUUAUUUUUUGGACCAGGAUUAGAUACCCUGUUACUUUUAUGAAGAGAUUUUGGAACAGUAUUAUUAAUGAAAUUUAACGGAUUUGGCGGCAAGAUAGCCCCUUAGAGGAACCUGCCCUAUAAACGAUGAACCACGAAAAACUCUACUUUUCUUAGUAAACAGUUUGUAUAUCGCUGUUGUCAGUUAGAUUCUUGAGAAUAUUUUCAUUCAUGAUAAAUUCAUUGACUUCAAGUAAAGGUGCAGCUUAUAGAAAAGAUAGAGGUGGGUUACAUUUAUAAGAAUAAUACGGAUAAGAUUUAUGAAAUAAUCUUUGAAGGUGGAUUUAACUGUAAAACUUAAGGAAGUUUGGUGAGAGCUCUAUCUUGUGUACACACCGCCCGUCGCUCUCUUUUCAAAAC